rnacentral:rRNA from 1 species
GAUGAACGCUGGCGGUAUGCUUAACACAUGCAAGUCGAACGGUCACUUCGGUGAUAGUGGCGGACGGGUGAGUAACGCGUGAGAAUCUGUCUUCAGGUUGGGGACAACAGUUAGAAAUGACUGCUAAUACCGGAUGUGCCUUUGGGUGAAAGAUUUAUUGCCUGAAAAAGAGCUCGCGUCAGAUUAGCUAGUAGGUGGUGUAAGAGACUACCUAGGCUCCGAUCUGUAGCUGGUCUGAGAGGACGAUCAGCCACACUGGAACUGAGACACGGUCCAGACUCCUACGGGAGGCAGCAGUGGGGAAUUUUCCGCAAUGGGCGAAAGCCUGACGGAGCAAUACCGCGUGAGGGACGAAGGCUUUUGGGUCGUAAACCUCUUUUCUCAAGGAAGAUGAUGACGGUACUUGAGGAAUAAGCAUCGGCUAACUCUGUG